AAAUGAGAGCAUCAACGUUGUGGUGCAACCGUGCAAGACGCAAAACCAUAAACCCUUUGCAUCGCGUUGUUACCGUUCUCACGAUCCUCUUCAUAAAUGGCUUCAGCGUGCAGCAGAAUCGCGCAAAGAGCAGCUUCAUUUUCUUCCAUAAAAUCAACCAUCAAAUCCACUCUUCGCUCUUCAUCCUUCUCCAACACCGCCACCACUACUUCUCCUCUUCGCCGAUCCAUUUUAACCAGGGUUGCUCCGGAACUGAGAUGCGCGCAGUCGAUGCUGCCACUGCAUAGUGCGGUUGCGACGGCGAGGAUGACGUCAUGCCUGAGAACAUCUCGGAGCUGCCGAGCGCUAUCACAGGGUACUCUCUGCUGCACCUCUCCCAGCCUCUAAUACUUACUUUUUCCUCCAUAAAAAUUCUUCAACUGCACAUAGAUAAUUGGGAGCUUGCAGGACCAGUCACUUUUGACCUACUGCCUCAUUACCAAAUGGAAUUGAUUGGACGUGAGGCAUGCAUGCUGUUCUUAAGAGCUCGGUCUAUCAGUUCCAAGGUGACAAGCUAGAAGUGAGACCGAAGAAAGCGUUUUACAUUUGUGAGGUUAGAUUUUGUAAUUCUGCUACCCAAAAGCGGCUAUACUCAAUGUAAUUUUUUCAGGCUGCGAGAAUGAUUUUGUUGCUGAAUAAUGGUUACUUGCCCUAUGAAUUUGAUUAAUCAAUAUGCUUAAUUAAAACAAUCUGUGUUUUAUCAAGAAAUGAAGAUCAUGUAUAAGAAUUGAGGUAGACUGAUGUUUGAGUGGAAA